rnacentral:misc_RNA from 1 species
UUUCAAACCUCCACAACAAAAUCUUUUCCUUGGGUUUCCCGCGAUUUCUCAGUACCCAAACAAUGCAAAUGCUCCAAUCGGAGUUCAAAAACAGAUGUUAUUUACAAAUUGAUCAACUACUGAAAGAAGCAAUCCAUACAGAAUGAAGAAACCAUGAAGAGAAAGAGAUCAAUAGAUUCUAUAGUAAAAUCAGAAAGCAUAAAAAGAUACAAAUUACCUCUACAUAACAAAAGAGAAUGGG